rnacentral:rRNA from 1 species
CAGGCCUAACACAUGCAAGUCGUACGAGAAUUUUAUUCUAGUGGCGGACGGGUGAGUAACACGUGAGAAUCUACCUCUAGGAGGGGGAUAACAGUUGGAAACGAUUGCUAAAACCCCAUAUGCCAUUAUUGGUGAAAAAGAUUUAUCUGCCUGGAGAUGAGCUCGCGGCUGAUUAGCUAGUUGGUAAGGUAAUGGCUUACCAAGGCGACGAUCAGUAGCUGGUCUUAGAGGAUGAUCAGCCACACUGGAACUGAGAUACGGUCCAGACUCCUACGGGAGGCAGCAGUGGGGAAUUUUCCACAAUGGGCGAAAGCCUGAUGGAGCAAUACCGUGUGAGGGAUGAAGGCCUGUGGGUUGUAAACCUCUUUUUUCAGGAAAGAAAAUUUGACGGUACCUGAAGAAUAAGCAUCGGCUAACUCCGUGCCAGCAGCCGCGGUAAUACGGAGGAUGCAAGCGUUAUCCGGAAUCACUGGGCGUAAAGCGUCUGUAGGUGGUUUAUCAAGUCUGUUGUUAAAGCUUGAGGCUUAACCUCAAAAAAGCAGUGGAAACUGAUAGACUAGAGAAUGGUAGGGGCAGAGAGAAUUCUCAGUGUAGCGGUGAAAUGCGUAGAUAUUGAGAAGAAUACCGAUAGCGAAGGCGCUCUGCUGGGCCAUUGCUGACACUCAGAGACGAAAGCUAGGGGAGCAAAUGGGAUUAGAUACCCUGGUAGUCCACGCCGUAAACGUUGGGCACUAGGUGUGGGACCUAUCGACGGUCUCUGUGCCGUAGCUAGAAGAACCUUACCUGGGCUUGACAUGUAGGGAAAAGCCGCAGAGAUGCGGUGUCCUUCGGGGUCCUACACAGGUGGUGCAUGGCUGUCGUCAGCUCGUGUCGUGAGAUGUUGGGUUAAGUCCCGCAACGAGCGCAACCCUUGUCCUAUGUUGCCAGCGGGUAAUGCCGGGGACUCGUAGGAGACUGCCGGGGCCAACUCGGAGGAAGGUGGGGACGACGUCAAGUCAUCAUGCCCCUUACGUCCAGGGCUGCACACAUGCUACAAUGGCCGGUACAAAGGGCUGCUAUCCCGCGAGGGGGAGCCAAUCCCAAAAGCCGGUCUCAGUUCGGAUCGCAGUCUGCAACUCGACUGCGUGAAGUCGGAGUCGCUAGUAAUCCCGGAUCAGCAACGCCGGGGUGAAUACGUUCCCGGGCCUUGUACACUCCGCCC